AUCGCUGUGUGACAAUAGCCACCUCACACCAUAUGGCAAUAUUUAGAACCAGGAAAACCCCAGUUUCCUCACCAGAACACUGCUUUUCUGGUUCUAUGGUGUGAGCACAAGUUACAGGGACAUUUUUUUUCCCAGAGGUGCGUUCCUAGUCUAAUAAUAACAAUAAAUUAAGCUCAGUUCUUUAUCACAGCCUUAGUAAGCAAGAGCUGAUCCUGCCUUCCUUGUAGCUGAUGGUAUUUUCCCAGGUUUUGGCAAGAGGAAGCUCUGCCCCUAAUGGAAGAAAAGUGUCCUAUGACAGAGAUGGAGGACAGAGAGCCAGCACAUGCACUCUCAUCUCCUCAGCUCUGCCACCUGUUGCUGUGGGACGUGGGUUGCUCACAGAGUACUGUCUGGAAUGACAACCCUACACGGACGUCGCCAUCUGUGACCUGAACUCCCCAGUGUUUCUGAGCCAUCUCCUGUGCGACCAUCCCGGCUGGGCUGAGCGCUCCCACACGCACCGCCCGGGGAAAGCAGCAUGAAACCCCUGGGAAGCAGCCCGGCCCCUCCUGCACAUUCUCUCCAGCUCCCAGGGGCGGGGGAAAGGGAUGAACUGUCAAGAAGCAACAAACACGGCGUAGCCCUUCUCGAA